AGUUCCAAAACAUCUGGGGUGCCUAGGUUCGCCAUCACUGUGACCUAGGCUGUCUCAGAUGAGUGUAGUAUCCAGUGUGUGUUGUUGUCAGCUUGUGUUCUUGUGAAUGAAGCCCCCUUUUCUCCAGCUGCAAUCAUUGGCCACACAAGCUGACAGUUUCCACUCUCUCGCUGUUCCCUGAAUAGCAGGCUGCAGCUCCAGACUCUGUGAACCCUGAACAGGAGAGAUGAGGACACAUAGAGCUACAGAAUGGAGAUAAGAUGAGGCUUGUUGCUGGCUGUAGCUUCUCCCCCAUCAUACACCCAUUUUUUUUAGCCUCUAGGGGGGCAGUGGAGCAAUAGCCAGCAACGACAGAAUAGACAGAAAGGAAAGUCCUAAACAUGACCACAUCCAUGGGAAUGGACAGCCAGGGGAGUCACCUGACUGGGAGGAUGUUAGACCUCACCCUGGAGAUCAUCUACCUGCUGACCGGAGAGGAUUACAAAGUUGUAAAAGGGACACCUUUUAGUAAUUGUCCUCAUGGGUCCUCUCCACCAUCAUCCCCGAUACUAGAGACCAACAAGAAGCAGAAGAUUCUAGAAGUCACCAAGAAGAUGAUGGAGCUGCUGACAGGAGA